rnacentral:sRNA from 1 species
GUGCGUCGAGAGGCGUUGCAACGGAUCGGGUCAUCGCACCCGUCCGCCACGCUCGGCAGAGUCAAGGACGCCUUCCGUCA